CUCGGUGUCUCUAGCGGAGUGGUAACACCCGUUUCCAUCCCGAACACGGAAGUUAAGCGCUCCAGCGCCGAUGGUAGUCCUUUGGGCGAGAGUAGGUCGGUGCCGAGA
rnacentral:rRNA from 1 species